UUAAGAUGUGGUCUGGUGGGAUUUCGGAUAGCCGUCCGAAGGUCGUUUCAUUAUUAAUUAUAUCUCAUGUGUACAUAUAUAGUCAUAAAAGUUCUUCCAUAUUCAUGUGUGCUAGUUACAUCAUUAAUAAGUUACCAUCGGGGUAGCACAGGAUCAUACUUAUACUAUUGCUAGAUCAUUGAGCCAGUUCAUUCACGAGUCAGUACUUAUUACUAUGAGAACAUAUACAUUACAUUACUAUGAGAACAUAUAAAACUAUACUAGAAGAAGAACAUAUACAACUAUACUAGAAGAAGAACAUAUACAACUAUACUAGAAAGAGAACAUAUACAACGAUACUAGAACGAGUAACAAUACAUUACAUAUACAUGAAUACGUUGACAAAAUUGUGAUCCACUGUAUCGAAGCAUGCCUUAAAUGUCAUGGCCCGAGUUGUAGCCAGAGUCACUUGGAGGGAGAGCGUGGGUUUGCGUAUAGAUCUAUACUGAAUUGAAUAUCCUACACCUUGCUGCUAGCUACAGCCGGACCUGCAGGUCUGCGGGUGCCAAAUGUCAUACCUUUUUUUACGACCUACAUUUGUCGUUGUUACCUAGUCGAUAGUAUGGUACAAUUAAUCACAUGAUACCUUAAUAUAAAUCCGGUUUAAGGUAGUUAGUACAACAGUAGUUCCUAUAAUACAACACUACAGUACCACAAUAAUUUACCCUUUACAUACAUUUAGUGAUCAUUUCACUUAAACAUUAAUGUACAAACUAUAUUUUGUUAAAUGAUAGUUACACUUGGAAAAAUUACACACUUUUACGAUAAACGAACAUAGAAAACAGUUACGCCUUGGUAGAGGGCUACUUUUAAUAGAAAAUAUAGGUUUUUCUGAGAGAUUCAAACUUUUACAAACACUUAUAAACAUUUACAUACUUUUAUCACCAAUGUUUACAAACUCAUGUUUAAAACCAUGUUCAAACGUUUUGAUACAAACACCGACACUAAAUUACUUAUGAACUCACCAGCUUAAUGCUGAUAAACUCUUUCAAAAUAACUUGUAUUCUCAGGUCGUCAGUAGACAGGUACCGAGGCCAGCUUUUGAGAAGAUGGAGCGCAUUCAAGACUCAUCUUAUUAUUUUGAUUUACUUUUUGGUGUCUAUAACUGUACAAAACACACUUGUAUUAAAAUUAUAUAUUUAAUGCAAUGGAUGAUGUUGUUUGCUUAUUUACUGUUAUACUGUGUUGUGAUACUUUACAUGACGUCCUCCGCCCCAGAACGUUUCCGCCGUUCUUGGUUUUGGGGUGUGACAGAUUGGUAUCAGAGCAUUGUUUAUAGUGAAUUGAGUAUAUCAACCCAUAAAAGAUAUACUAACUAUAAACCCAUUUGGGAUUAAAACACUCUGACCAAGAGUCUAUACUUUAAAUACUAAAAUAUUUAAUUAAGUAUACUAGUCUGCAUUCAUACUAAAAUUAGUGUCACAAUGACAAGAACAAAAGUAUUACAAUUGUUAAAUAUCAUAAGUGAGCUCGGGGAUGUAUGGUCAGUCCUGGGAAUGGCAUAGCCUGAUCAACUAUGCUGGUCCGAGGAGUGAUUAGCAUAUGCCCUAGAAUGGUUGUGAUAUGUUAACAAGUCUAAUAAGUUACUAACAAUACCAGAAGGAGAAUAGUAGAACCUAAAAUUAAAAUACUAUAGGGGUAUUUUGUGCUACUACAAGCUAUUUAUACACUAUAUUCUUAUACCUCUCUUCUCGCGUAGAUUUAAAUGGCUAGAUUCCAUCAUGGCGACCCGUACUUCCCAAAUGAAGGCAACGCUGGGUGGAUCGAAGAAGAGCCCGAAGAUGAGCAUCCAAUCCCUUUGGAUGAUCACCUCACAGAAGGAUUUUCUGAUGGAUCUGACUCUGAGCCUGAAGUCAACAACCUACCGCCAGUAGGUCAAGCUCCAAACAACAACCCUCGACCAGCUUUCCCAGGUCUCACACCCUUAUGGGCAACCAACUUAAAUCGUUGGAGUGACGAACAGGGUCAACCCUUACCUUACUUUGGGGACCGAAGCUUUUACAAUCUCAGCGAAGGUGGCUCUGCGGAUCGAGCUCUGCCUGUCAUUAUCCACAGAAUAGCUUGUAAUGUUGAGCAAGGUCGAGCAGCCAUUGACCGGGUCAUGGAGAUUGAUGCCAACUCUGGUGUCAACAUAGUUCGCAUUCGCCGUCUUGAAGAAGACAUGGAACGGACCAGGAGAACCAAUGAGACCCUGUAGCAACAGCUGGCUGCCACCCGAGCCGAAGUCAUGGAACUUCGAGCCCGUCAGAGGUCUCAUGAGCGACACCUUCAAGAAGUGGUUCGUCAAGUGGCAGACCUCAGGGUUCGCCCAAGGAAUUCCCAUCACCAUUAGAAGAUGCCUAGUACAUCUUUGUCUUUUGGUUAAGGAAUAGCCUUUAGUAUUUGUGCUCUAAGUAGCACUUGUCUGUAAAAUAUUCCUAAAUUCAGUACUCUAAUUAGGAAUCUAGGAACUGUCAAACUUUCUGUAUGGUAUGAUGUAAGACCCAUUGUUAGGUCGAUUUUCCCUGAACUUAUUACAUCAGUAAUACCAGUAUUAUUGACAACUACCUAAUCUGUGGGAAAAGUCUGUACACUUGUGUCUACCUACUAUUCUUCUAUGUUGUGAUCUCAAAACACUCAUUCAACUGUUGGGCUAUGGUUAGAUAGUCCAUGUGUCACUCUCACCCCACUUACAAUUGAUUCCUACCAUUGUGUUUAUCUUUAUAAACUUAUAGCUGAAAGAUGCCUCCUCGCAAAUCUCCAAUGAAUAACCCUUCACCUCCUCCUCCUCCUCCUCCGGUCAUCGAUACUACAGCCCUGAAUGCUGCCGUAGCUGUAGCAGUGGCNNNNNNNNNNNNNNNNNNNNNNNNNCCCCUGUUGACUCUAUUCCUGCUGAAAUCCCUGUGCGCUCGAGAGUGUGCUCCUACAAGGAUUUCACCAACUGUAAGCCGAAGUCCUUCCAGGGAACCGGCGGAGUCAUUGUCCUCUCGCAAUGGUUCGAGAAGACUGAAUCAGUCUUCGAAAUUUGUUCGUGCCCUACUGCGAGCAAAGUCAAAUAUGCCGCAUGCACCUUUGAAGGAAAAGCUCUGACGUGGUGGAACGACCACGUUAAAGCGCUAACUCUCGUAGUGGCGAAUGACAUGGGUUGGGAAACCAUGAAGGAUCUCAUGAUAGAGGAAUACUUCCCGAGGAGCGAAAUCCAGAAAUUGGAGCAGGAACUGUGGAGCCUAACCAUGAAGGGCUUCGACGUAGUCUCAUAUACCGCCAGAUUCAGCGAACUGGUGGCCCUCUGCCCCAAUAUGGUUCUCACUGAAGGGAAAAAGAUCGAGAGGUACAUAUGGGGGCUAGUGCCUCCGUACCAGGGGAGCCCUAUCAUNGACAGUGCCAAGCGACUGGCACAGAGACUCAUUGACCAUGGGCUUAAAACCCCUGCAGCAACAACAACCCUAGCCAUCUCAGAACCCUCCAAACCCGCUGACACUAAGCAGAAGUUCUGGGAGGAGAAGAAGAAACAACGAGUUGCCAAAAAGCAGCAAAUUGUGGCAGUGCAUGCCGCCAUAACCCCUGCUGCUGCUACUGCUCCGGUGGGGCAGUAUGCUGGAAGUUUGCCUAAGUGCAACAAAUGCAGCUACCACCACAACGGCCCUUGCCGUGAAAUGCAGUGCUCUAACUGUAACAGGAAAGGACACACAGUCCGUUUCUGUAAAUCUCCGGCGAGGCCGAUCGCCUAAGUCCCCGGCUCUGGCGUGAGCCAGACCUGCUAUAGAUGUGGUGAAGCGGGCCACUAUAAGAGGGACUGGCCCAAAGCGAAGAAUGCUGGCGAAGCAGGGAGGGUAUUAGCAAUAGGCCAUGGGGAAGCAGUUGCUGACCCGACGGUGGUGACUGGUACGUUCCUCCUCGAUAACUCCUAUGCAUGCAUUCUGUUCGAUAGUGGAGCGGAGCGAAGCUUCGUGAACCACAAAUUUGAUCGCAUGCUUAAACAACAACCACACACACUUAAAGAACAAUUCACAGUAGAAAUGGCUAAUGGAAAAACAGAAAGCACAAAUAGAAUAUACUUAGGAUGUACCCUAACUCUAGAUAACCAUUCAUUUCCAAUCAACCUUAUGUCGUUAUCGAUUAAAAGCAUCGACGUUAUCAUCGGCAUGGAUUGGUUAAGUCUUCAUCCCACCGACAUCAUGUGAUACGAGAAAGCAGUCCGUCUAAACCUCCCGUCUAACGAAACUCUUAUCGUCUACGGCGACAAACCCGGUGCGAGUCUUCGUAUUAUAUCAAGUAUUCAAGCACAGAAGUAUCUACGUAAAGAAUACCAUGCAUUCCUUGCUCACGUUGUCGAUACGAGCCUCGAAAUGAAAGAACUAAAGAACAUUCUAGUAGUGAGGGACUUUCCCGACAUCUUCCCAGAAGAGCUACCAGGAUUACCUCCGCAACGACAGGUCGAGUUCAGAAUCGACUUAGUCCCAGGAGCUACCCCAGUAGCCAAGUCACCCUACCGAUUAGCACCAACAGAGAUGCAGGAACUAUCUGGUCAACAUAACGAACUGCUCAGCAAGGGCUUUAUAAGACCAAGUUUCUCGCCUUGGGGAGCACCUGUCUUGUUCGUUAAGAAGAAAAACGGAUCAUUGCGUAUGUGUAUCGACUACAGAGAACUCAACAAACUAACGGUCAAGAAUCAUUACCCUAUGCCUCGCAUAGACGAUCUAUUUGACCAUCUGCAAGGGGCGAACUACUUUUCCAAAAUUGAUCUAAGAUCCGGAUAUCACCAGUUAUGAGUGCUAGAGGAGGAUGUUCUAAAGACAGCCUUCCGAACUCGUUACUGACACUACGAGUUCGUGGUGUUGCCAUUCAGAUUGACCAACGCGCCCGCAGUUUUCAUGGAUCUGAUGAAUAGAGUAUGCCGACCUUAUUUGGAUCAGUUCGUCAUUGUCUUCAUCGAUGACAUCCUGAUCUACUCCCGAAGUAAGGAAGAGCAUGGCGAUCACCUGCGACAAGUUCUAGGAACUUUACGAACGGAGAAGCUCUAUGCGAAGUUCUCUAAAUGUGAAUUUUGGAUCCGAAGAGUCGAAUUCUUAGGACACAUGGUAAGUGAAGAGGGAAUCCAUGUGGACCCAUCCAAAAUUAAGGCCAUUGAGAACUGGUCAGCACCGAAGACGCCUACAGAAAUUCGUCAAUUUCUAGGUCUCGCUGGCUAGUACCGCAGGUUCAUACAGAACUUCUUCCGAAUUGCAAAACCUCUUACAACGCUAACCCAAAAAGGCGUGACCUUUGACUGGGAAGAUAAACAGGAUAGAGUGUUCCAAACAAUCAAGCGAGCCUUGUGCACCGCACCAAUACUAUCCCUCCCCGAAGGGAUAGAAGACUUUAUUGUCUAUUGCGACGUGUCAAAUCAAGGGCUCGGUUGUGUUCUGAUGCAACGGGGUAAGGUCAUCGCCUACGCCUCGAGACAGCUGAAGACACACGAAGUUAACUACACGACCCACGAUCUUGAGCUAGGAGCAGUUGUGUUUGCUCUGAAGAUCUGGAGACAUUACUUGUAUGGAACGAAAAGCACUAUCUUUACCGACCACAAGAGUUUACAACACAUAUUCGAUCAGAAGGAGCUCAACAUGAGACAACAACGGUGGGUCGAGCUACUCGGUGACUACGAAUGAGAAAUUCGUUAUCAUCCGGGUAAAGCCAACGUAGUACCAGACGCCCUAAGUCGGAAGGAAUAUUCUGGUCGAAGAGUCAAGUCAUUGACAAUGACUAUCCAUUCACACUUGUCUAAGCAAAUUCAGGCGGCUCAGCUUGAUGCCAUGAAACCUGAAAACGUGACGAGUGAAUCCCUUAGAGGAAUGGAUAAAAAUUUAGAAGCCGAGGGUGGUCGAGCCUUAUAUUUCAUGAACCGGAUCUGGACACCGAAACACGGUGGUUUCCGAGACUUGGUCAUGACCGAGGCGCACAACACUCGGUAUUCCGUCCACCCAGGUUCAGAUAAGAUGUAUCUGGAUCUUAAAAAGCUAUACUGGUGGCCUAAUAUGAAAGUAGAGAUUGCUACCUUCGUAAGUAAAUGCUUACUUGCGCAAAGGUUAAGGUCGAGUACCAGAAGCCCUCCGGUUUACUACAACAACCAGAGAUUCCAGAAUGGAAAUGGGAGCGGAUCACUAUGGAUUUCAUAACCAAUUUGCCCAAGAUAACGAGUGGACUUGAUACCAUAUGGGUCAUCGUCGAUAGAUUGACUAAGUCUGCACACUUCCUGCCUAUCAAAGAAACUGACAAGAUGGAGAAGCUUACGAGAACAUACAUUAGGGAAAUCGUACGACUACAUGGUGUACCUAUAUCCAUUAUCUCCGAUAGAGAUAGUAGGUUCACCUCAAGAUUCUGGCAAUCGCUACAACAUUCCCUGGGAACAAGGCUGGACAUGAGCACAGCCUACCAUCCACAGACCGACGGACAAAGUGAGAGGACCAUCCAAACACUGGAAGAUAUGUUGAGAGCAUGUGUGAUUGACUUUGGAAAGGCAUGGGAUACUCAUUUACCCCUUGUCAAAUUUUCCUACAAUAACAUUUAUCACACGAGCAUCAAGGCUGCUCCAUUUGAAGCCCUCUAUGGCCGAAAGUGCAGAUCCCCUCUGUGCUGGGCUGAAGUAGGUGAUAACCAAUUAGCUAAGAGGCAAGUUUCUGACAGUACUCUCACAUGCCCGAAAAUCAUUCGGGACACGACAGAGAAGAUCGUCAGAUCCAUGAACGAUUGAAAGCCUCUAGAGACCGACAAAAGAGCUACGCGGAUAAGCGAAGGAAACCUUUGGAAUUUCAGGUGGGAGACCGAGUCCUUCUUAAAGUCUCAUCCUAGAAGGGCUUGAUACGCUUCGGUAAGCGUGGGAAGCUUAAUCCGAGAUAUAUAGGUACCUUUGAGAUUCUCGCAAGAAUCGGCCUUGUAGCUUACAAACUCAACCUACCCGACGAACUUCAUAACAUACAUUCUACAUUCCACAUAUCUAACUUGAAAAAGUGUCUGUCCGACGAGACUCUUGUAAUCCCACUCGACGAGAUCGAGAUCAACGAGAGCCUCAACUUCGUGGAAGAACCAGUAGAGAUCAUGGACCGAGAAGUCAAGCAGACGAAGCAAAGCCGUAUCCCGAUUAUGUAGGUUCGCUGGAACGUCAAGCGAGGACCGGAAUUCACUUGGGAGCGUGAGGAUCAGAUGAAACUGAAAUAUCCUCAUCUUUUUGCUUUGUUAUUUGUACUACUUUAUUUGUUUAGACUUUAAUUUCGGGACGAAAUUCCCUUUAACAGGGGGAUGAUGUGACAACCCGAAAUUUCCAUUCGGUAAAACCCUAAAAGUCAACCACUUCGUAUCAUAAGUGAAUGUCAUUAUUUCUUAUUUUUAAGAAAUAUAAAGUUCGUUUGAUUAUUUUAAUAUUAUUUUUAAACGAACGGGUGAAAGAAAGUGUUGUCUCGGGUUUUGAAUUUUAAAAACCUUAAACACCCUAAAGUGUGUUUAAAUGAGUCAUUUUCCUUCCUUAGGCCUAAAAACUAACUUAGACAAUUACCUAGUUGUGUUAAGGACUUGAAAACAUGGCAAUACCCUUUUCCAUACGGGUGUACAGUAGUAAACCCAAUGGGAAAUGACCAUGAGGCCGUAAACUCCUCUUAGGAGUGUUUUUGUUGCCCUAGUCCCAUCCAAAGGCCAAACCACCUAGUAGAAAUGCUUCAAAAGGCUUGUUAAACCACAAAACAACACAUGGUCGAUAGGACUAGAGUUUACGACCGUAAACUCUAGAGUUUACUGCCGUAAACUCCUUAGGUUAUGACCAUCAAAACCGUAAACUCCAAGGGAGUUUACCCUUGAACUCCAAACACAAGGCCGUCCACCCUAUUUCCUUUUCGCGCUUAAGAUGUGGUCUGGUGGGAUAUCGGAUAGCCGUCCGAAGGUCGUUUGAAUAUUAAUUAUAUAUCAUGUGUACAUAUAUAGUAAUAAAAGUUCUUCCAUAUCCAUGCGUACUAGUUACAUCUUUAGUAAGUUACCAUCGGGGUAGCACAGGAUUAUUCUUAUACUAUUGCUAGAUCAAUGAGUUAGUUCAUUCAUGAGUCAGUACUUAUUACUAUGAGAACAUAUACAUUACAUUACUAUGAGAACAUAUACAACUAUACUAGAAGAAGAAC
rnacentral:lncRNA from 1 species